GAUGAACGCUGGCGGCGUGCCUAAUACAUGCAAGUCGAGCGAACGGACGAGAAGCUUGCUUCUCUGAUGUUAGCGGCGGACGGGUGAGUAACACGUGGAUAACCUACCUAUAAGACUGGGAUAACUUCGGGAAACCGGAGCUAAUACCGGAUAAUAUUUUGAACCGCAUGGUUCAAAAGUGAAAGACGGUCUUGCUGUCACUUAUAGAUGGAUCCGCGCUGCAUUAGCUAGUUGGUAAGGUAACGGCUUACCAAGGCAACGAUGCAUAGCCGACCUGAGAGGGUGAUCGGCCACACUGGAACUGGGACGCGGUCCAGACUCCUACGGGAGGCAGCAGUAGGGAAUCUUCCGCAAUGGGCGAAAGCCUGACGGAGCAACGCCGCGUGAGUGAUGGAGGUCUUCGGAUCGUAAAACUCUGUUAUUAGGGAAGAACAUAUGUGUAAGUAACUGUGCACAUCUUGACGGUACCUAAUCAGAAAGCCACGGCUAACUACGUG
rnacentral:rRNA from 1 species